rnacentral:lncRNA from 1 species
GAGAUCGUAAAACCCUAUGAUUGGGGUUUGAGCCGAGCCGAGCUUUGAGUUAAAAGAGCGGGCUGCCCGUCUCCUCGUUCGCAGUGUCCCCGAAGAACGACGCCAAGACCAACAUGCAGUUCCUCAAGAUCAACCUCUUCCUCCUCGUCGCCAUCGCCGCAACCCUGGUGCGCGCUCAGGGCGACGAUUGGAACACGGAUACAGGAGUGCCGGAAUGCAACGAUUGCAUUAAAACGUGUAAAAUGCAGACGAACGCGGACUACGUCUACUGUAGGUACACCUUCUGCUUCAACGACUGCAUAACGGUCAACGGUGACGGCCCCACGAAGCCGAAGCCAACUGAAAGCGCAGGCGGCCAACAAGGCAACCAACAAGGCAACCAACAAGGGAGCCAACAAGGCAACCAACAAGAAAACCAACAAGGGAACCAAUCAGGGAACCAAUCAGGGAACCAAAGUGGGAACCAAAAAGGUCGCAGGUUCUCGGGCAGGACGGUGCGGAGUACGAUUGGGAGGAGGACACCGGGUAGAGGAGUGCAAUAGCUGCAUCCCCAAGUGCAAAAUGGAGACGAACGCCGACUACGUCUUCUGCAGGUACACCUACUGCGCCACCGAGUGCGGCCCCGCCAACGAGGGCAAACCCAAACCAUCGCCGAAACCAAAACCGGCAGCCCCAGGCGGUCCCGGAGCUGCUCCCGGCGCUGCUCCCGCCAGCGGGCGUUAGAGAAGUAGGCCACGCAUCCGGAGUCACCCGAGAGGAGCUUCGACCAUGUCCCCAGGACUGGCCCACGCAGUUCUUACUCCGCUUUCCUCAACGUCUUUCUUCACUCGAUAAUAAAGAGUUUUUCAUGUCUUCUAACAUUUUGAUUUCUCACGAACGUCCUACUCUCCUUUCACCUCUUCCUACUUCGUUUACUCAUAUAAUUUUCUGCUCUCUUU